rnacentral:rRNA from 1 species
GACGAACGCUGGCGGCGUGCUUAACACAUGCAAGUCGAACGAAGAGCGAUGGAAGCUUGCUUCAAUCAAUCUUAGUGGCGAACGGGUGAGUAACGCGUAAUCAACCUGCCCUUCAGAGGGGGACAACAGUUGGAAACGACUGCUAAUACCGCAUACGAUCUAAUCUCGGCAUCGAGGAUAGAUGAAAGGUGGCCUCUACAUGUAAGCUAUCACUGAAGGAGGGGAUUGCGUCUGAUUAGCUAGUUGGAGGGGUAACGGCCCACCAAGGCGAUGAUCAGUAGCCGGUCUGAGAGGAUGAACGGCCACAUUGGGACUGAGACACGGCCCAGACUCCUACGGGAGGCAGCAGUGGGGAAUCUUCCGCAAUGGACGAAAGUCUGACGGAGCAACGCCGCGUGAGUGAUGACGGCCUUCGGGUUGUAAAGCUCUGUUAAUCGGGACGAAAGGCCUUCUUGCGAAUAG